AUGGCGUCCACAUCUACAGUUCAGUAUAAAUUGCUCUAAUCGCCGAUGUUGACAACUCAACCUGUCUUUCUUCAGGUUCCCCAACAUCAAAGAAAGCGGGUCCAGAAUACUCGUCGACAAGAUCUCCUCCACCAAACUCUGGUGCACUUGUCAACCACCUGCUGUCUUUGUUCUGAACACUGAACUUGACUAGUUUUCCAACAGGCAGACCAAUGAGAGGCUAAAUUGCAAUGCAGUUCCAACGCUAUUUGACAUCCUGAACACGCCAAAAUUCUGUUUUCCCAACGCAGGUUACUCAAGAGGAAGUAUGAGAACCUCCCGUUAGCCACACAAAAUUGUGCAAAUGACGAUUAUUUAAUAUUGUAUAUAAAUUGGAAAUUUUGUUCUUUGGGGUAAGCAAGGGGUGGGGCUAUCGUUGUCUGAAAUAUGUUAAAUUUUACAUCACUUUCAAAACACUGCAACCCCCUGUAUAUGUCGUGCACAAAAUGAUGUGAAUUAUGUAAAUAUUACCAUAAAUGACGGAAAUAAAAAGUGUUUUCCUUGUU